GAUGAACGCUGACAGAAUGCUUAACACAUGCAAGUCAUUGGCGAAGCUGCGCUUGCGCAGUCUAGCCAAGGCGGACGGGUGAGUAACGCGUAAGGAACUUGCCCUGCAGACAGGGAUAACAGACGGAAACGACUGAUAACACCUGGUAUUGUCAGGCUGGCGCAUGCCGGCCUGAUGAAAGGAGACGCUGCAGGAGAGCCUUGCGUCCUAUUAGCUAGUUGGUGGGGUAACGGCCCACCAAGGCGAUGAUAGGUAGCCGGCCUGAGAGGGUGAACGGCCACAAGGGGACUGAGAUACGGCCCUUACUCCUACGGGAGGCAGCAGUGGGGAAUAUUGGACAAUGGGGGCAACCCUGAUCCAGCGAUUCUGUGUGCACGAAGAAGGUUUUCGGAGUGUAAAGUGCUUUCAGCAGGGAAGAAGAAAGUGACGGUACCUGCAGAAGAAGCGACGGCUAAAUACGUG
rnacentral:rRNA from 1 species